rnacentral:rRNA from 2 species
UCCUUUGUUGCCAGCGGUCCGGCCGGGAACUCAAAGGAGACUGCCAGUGAUAAACUGGAGGAAGGUGGGGAUGACGUCAAGUCAUCAUGGCCCUUACGACCAGGGCUACACACGUGCUACAAUGGCGCAUACAAAGAGAAGCGACCUCGCGAGAGCAAGCGGACCUCAUAAAGUGCGUCGUAGUCCGGAUUGGAGUCUGCAACUCGACUCCAUGAAGUCGGAAUCGCUAGUAAUCGUGGAUCAGAAUGCCACGGUGAAUACGUUCCCGGGCCUUGUACACACCGCCCGUCACACCAUGGGAGUGGGUUGCAAAAGAAGUAGGUAGCUUAACCUUCGGGAGGGCGCUUACCACUUUGUGAUUCAUGACUGGGGUGAAGUCGUAACAAGGUAACCGUAGGGGAACCUGCGGUUGGA